rnacentral:misc_RNA from 1 species
GAUGAAGAACGCAGCGAAAUGCGAUACGUAGUGUGAAUUGAAGAAUUCAGUGAAUCAUCGAAUCUUUGAACGCACAUUGCGCCCUUUGGUAUUCCAAAGGGCAUGCCUGUUCGAGCGUCAUUUGUACCCUCAAGCUUUGCUUGGUGUUGGGCGUCUUGUCUCCAGUCCGCUGGAGACUCGCCUUAAAGUCAUUGGCAGCCGGCCUACUGGUUUCGGAGCGCAGCACAAGUCGCACUCUUUUCCAGCCAAGGUCAGCGUCCAACAAGCCUUUUUUCAACUUUUGACCUCGGAUCAGGUAGGGAUACCCGCUGAACUUAAGCAUAUCAAUAAGCGGAGGA